GGAAUGAAUAGAAGAAAAAGUGUUGGUGUUUUCAGCACAUCUCUACAAUGUAGAAGAGCUGAACAUUGGCCAUGUGUUCUUUCUCUCACUCUAUCUUACUCUUAUCAAUUCAUAAAAAAGUAAUUCUGAUUACAAACUACUCUGUAGCUCUGAUUACUCUCUCACUUAACAGAAUAAUUAAUUCCCUGGUAAUUGAAUCUGCUCAUAGAUAUAAAAUCUACAGAGUUUCCCACAAGCCAGCCUUUAUACCAUAAGUACAAGUAAUUGACCCCUCACAGAUCUUAACGAUAUUCAAAACUAGCCUAGACCCCCAUAUUUGGAGACUUAUUCACUAUAUAUACUGGUGAAUAGAGGAUGCUUUCUUGUCCUGAGUUGGGCAGCAGGCUGUGGUUCCUGUCUGCAAAUCUCCAUCUCUCUCACCGUUUCACAGAGGCCUUUAUCUACAGUGAGAUGCAAAUGGCUCAGUGAAUAUUGCAUGAGUCAUUGGAAAGGUACUAACUUCUUUGUUUAGUUAGGAAAGAGGAAAGCUCACCAAAGUGCUGGGAACCUGGAGGCAUGGUGCCCGGAAAGGCAUACAGUAGGGAGCUCGAUAAACAAAGUGAGCAUUUUCGUACAUCACAGGGAUGCCCAGACUGACCCAGCCAUAAGCCGAACAUAAAUGAACAUAAGCUGAAUAUCAUUUGCCAGUUGAAGCAAAUACUUUCUAAUUAAGUAUGCUAAUUUCCUUUUUCUAUUUGCUGUGCCUGCCUCCUCCUUUAACUCAGAUCUCUUGUACUAGGCAAUGCUUGUACUCAACACCAUCUUCCCUGUUGAUUCCUCUCUGACAGCUUUGCUUCUGGUUUCCUGUCUUCUUUUCUCCUCUGUUUCAGAGCUUCUAGUCUCCACCUUGGCCCUGCCCCAGCUGUCUCAAGAGAGAAU
rnacentral:lncRNA from 1 species